rnacentral:tRNA from 1 species
UUCUUGGCAGUCCAGUGGUUAGGACUUGGCAUUUUCAUUGCUGAGGGCCAGGUUCAAUCCCUGGUUGGGAAA